AGUGAACGCUGGCGGUAGGCCUAACACAUGCAAGUCGAACGGCAGCACAGUAAGAGCUUGCUCUUACGGGUGGCGAGUGGCGGACGGGUGAGGAAUACAUCGGAAUCUACUUUUUCGUGGGGGAUAACGUAGGGAAACUUACGCUAAUACCGCAUACGACCUACGGGUGAAAGCAGGGGAUCUUCGCACCUUGCGCGAUUGAAUGAGCCGAUGUUGGACUAGUUAGUUGGCGGGUUAAAGGCCAACCAAGGCGACGAUCGGUAGCUGGUCUGAGAGGAGGAUCGGCCACAUGGGAACUGGGACACGGUCCAGACUCCUGCGGGAGGCAGCAGAGGGGAAUAUUGGACAGAGGGCGCAAGCAUGAUCCAGCCAUACCGCGUGGGUGAAGAAGGCCUUCGGGUUGUAAAGCCCUUUUGUUGGGAAAGAAAAGCAGCAGGUUAAUACCCCGCUGUUCUGACGGUACCCAAAGAAUAAGCACCGGCUAACUUCGUG
rnacentral:rRNA from 1 species